rnacentral:rRNA from 1 species
AGAUUGAACGCUGGCGGCAUGCCUUACACAUGCAAGUCGAACGACAGCACGGGAGCAAUCCUGGUGGCGAGUGGCGAACGGGUGAGUAAUACAUCGGAACGUGCCCAAUCGUGGGGGAUAACGCAGCGAAGGCUGUGCUAAUACCGCAUAAGAUCUACGGAUGAAAGCAGGGGAUCGCAAGACCUUGCGCGAAUGGAGCGGCCGAUGGCAGAUUAGGUAGUUGGUGAGGUAAAGGCUCACCAAGCCUUCGAUCUGUAGCUGGUCUGAGAGGACGACCAGCCACACUGGGACUGAGACACGGCCCAGACUCCUACGGGAGGCAGCAGUGGGGAAUUUUGGACAAUGGGCGAAAGCCUGAUCCAGCCAUGCCGCGUGCAGGAUGAAGGCCUUCGGUUGUAAACUGCUUUGUACGGUAACGAAAAGUACUACUUUCUAAUAAAGAAGGAGUCAUAGACGGUAACGUAACGUAAAUAAGACACCGACUAACUACGUACG